GAUGAACGCUGGCGGCGUGCCUAAUACAUGCAAGUCGAGCGAAUGGAUUAAGAGCUUGCUCUUAUGAAGUUAGCGGCGGACGGGUGAGUAACACGUGGGUAACCUGCCCAUAAGACUGGGAUAACUCCGGGAAACCGGGGCUAAUACCGGAUAACAUUUUGAACCGCAUGGUUCGAAAUUGAAAGGCGGCUUCGGCUGUCACUUAUGGCUGGACCCGCGUCGCAUUAGCUAGUUGGUGAGGUAACGGCUCACCAAGGCAACGACGCGUAGCCGACCUGAGAGGGUGAUCGGCCACACUGGGACUGAGACACGGCCCAGACUCCUACGGGAGGCAGCAGUAGGGAAUCUUCCGCAAUGGACGAAAGUCUGACGGAGCAACGCCGCGUGAGUGAUGAAGGCUUUCGGGUCGUAAAACUCUGUUGUUAGGGAAGAACAAGUGCUAGUUGAAUAAGCUGGCACCUUGACGGUACCUAACCAGAAAGCCACGGCUAACUACGUGCCAGCCGCCGCGGUAA
rnacentral:rRNA from 1 species